UGGGGAAUAUUGCGCAAGUGGGGCGAAAGCCUGACGCAGCGACGCCGCGUGAGGGAUGAAGGUCUUCGGAUCGUAAACCUCUGUCAGAAGGGAAGAAACUAGGGUGCUCUAAUCAUCAUCCUACUGACGGUACCUUCAAAGGAAGCACCGGCUAACUCCGUGCCAGCAGCCGCGGUAAUACGGAGGGUGCAAGCGUUAAUCGGAAUCACUGGGCAUAAAGCGCACGUAGGCUGUUAUGUAAGUCAGGGGUGAAAGCCCAGGCUCAACCGUGGAACUGCCCUUGAUACUGCACGACUCGAAUCCGGGAGAGGGUGGCGGAAUUCCAG
rnacentral:rRNA from 1 species